UAAAUAAUAAAUUAAAAAUCAAAAGUCAUUGUUAGAUCCAAAAACGUCUUUGACUUUUGAUUAGUUCAUAUGUGAAAUCAUCAUUCAAGAACAUAUUAAAGCAUUAUUCAUCAGACUUUUGAUUUAGUUCGUAGCUUCAGUCAUCACUCGGCAUCCAAGAACUAACUAACUCUAUGUCAGAAAUUGUGAUGCAAAAAAGAAAAAAAAAGGAAAAGGUCAAAUGAUAAAGCAAAAUUGAGAAAAAUAUUUGCAUUCCUCAAAUUUCAAUAACCAAAUAUUGAUAAAACUCAUUUGCAUUCCUCAAAUUUCGAGAACCAAAUAUUGAUAAAACUCAAAAGGUCUUCGUUCCUUGAAUAUAUUGGAAAUUCUUGAGGGUUCACAAAAUACAUACAUGGCU
rnacentral:lncRNA from 1 species